GGUUGAUCCUGCCAGUAGUCAUAUGCUUGUCUCAAAGAUUAAGCCAUGCAUGUCUAAGUACAAACUAUAUUAAAGUGAAACCGCGAAAGGCUCAUUAAAUCAGUUAUGGUUCCUUAGAUCGUACCACAAUUACUUGGAUAACUGUGGUAAUUCUAGAGCUAAUACAUGCAAACAGAGCUCUGACCGGAGACGGAAGGAGUGCUUUUAUUAGAUCAAAACCAAUCGGCGUCAGUAGCAUUUCGGUGUUACUGUUCGUCGCUCAAUAUAUGGUGAAUCUGAAUAACUUUAUG
rnacentral:rRNA from 1 species